rnacentral:rRNA from 2 species
GCUAGAUUGCGGAUCCGCGGCCGCAGAGUUUGAUCCUGGCUCAGAUUGAACGCUAGCGGGAUGCUUUACACAUGCAAGUCGAACGGCAGCACGAGAUAAGCUUGCUUAUCUUGGUGGCGAGUGGCGAACGGGUGAGUAACGUAUCGGAACGUGCCCAGUAGCGGGGGAUAACUACGCGAAAGCGUGGCUAAUACCGCAUACGCCCUACGGGGGAAAGGGGGGGAUUCUUCGGAACCUCUCACUAUUGGAGCGGCCGAUACCAGAUUAGCUAGUUGGUGGGGUAAUGGCCUACCAAGGCCGCGAUCCGUAGCUGGUUUGAGAGGACGACCAGCCACACUGGGACUGAGACACGGCCCAGACUCCUACGGGAGGCAGCAGUGGGGAAUUUUGGACAAUGGGGGCAACCCUGAUCCAGCCAUCCCGCGUGUGCGAUGAAGGCCUUCGGGUUGUAAAGCACUUUUGUUGGGAAGAAAAGCAGCCGGUUAAUACCCGGUUGUUCUGACGGCACCCAAAGAAUAAGCACCGGCUAACUUCGUGCCAGCAGCCGCGGUAAUACGAAGGGUGCAAGCGUUACUCGGAAUUACUGGGCGUAAAGCGUGCGUAGGUGGUUCGUUAAGUCUGAUGUGAAAGCCCUGGGCUCAACCUGAGAAUUGCAUUGGAUACUGGCGGGCUAGAGUACGGUAGAGGGUGGCGGAAUUCCUGGUGUAGCAGUGAAAUGCGUAGAUAUCACGAGGAACAUCCGUGGCGAAGCGGCCACCUGGACCAGUACUGACACUGAGCACGAAAGCGUGGGGAGCAAA